AGAGGNUCACUGGUGAUUCAUGAUAACUCCUCGAAUCGCAUGGCCUUGCGCCGGCGAUGGUUCAUUCAAAUUUCUUCCCUAUCAACUUUCGAUGUUUGGGUAUUGGCCAAACAUGGUUGCAACGGGUAACGGAGGGUUAGGGCUCGACCCCGGAGAAGGAGCCUGAGAAACGGCUACUACAUCCAAGGAAGGCAGCAGGCGCGCAAAUUACCCAAUCCCGACACGGGGAGGUAGUGACAAUAAAUACUGAUACAGGGCUCUUUUGGGUCUUGUAAUUGGAAUGAGUACAAUUUAAAUCCCUUAACGAGGAACAAUUGGAGGGCAAGUCUGGUGCCAGCAGCCGCGGUAAUUCCAGCUCCAAUAGCGUAUAUUAAAGUUGUUGUGGUUAAAAAGCUCGUAGUUGAACCUUGGGCCUGGCUGGCCGGUCCGCCUCACCGCGUGUACUGGUCCGGCCGGGCCUUUCCCUCUGUGGAACCCCAUGCCCUUCACUGGGCGUGGCGGGGAAACAGGACUUUUACUGUGAAAAAAUUAGAGUGCUCCAGGCAGGCCUAUGCUCGAAUACAUUAGCAUGGAAUAAUAGAAUAGGACGUGUGGUUCUAUUUUGUUGGUUUCUAGGACCGCCGUAAUGAUUAAUAGGGACAGUCGGGGGCAUCAGUAUUCAAUUGUCAGAGGUGAAAUUCUUGGAUUUAUUGAAGACUAACUACUGCGAAAGCAUUUGCCAAAGGAUGUUUUCAUUAAUCAGGAACGAA
rnacentral:rRNA from 1 species